rnacentral:lncRNA from 1 species
AGCAUCUGACCAAUAGGUUAGAGACCAGUGUGGUAAUAGUAAGAAUUUUAAGGAAAAGUGAUGGUUUCCUGGUAUCUCAUAUUGCCCCAUCAAAUAUCCACCACUUACUGGGUCCCAAAGAAUAGAUUAUUUUUCCCCAGAAUGCAAAAAGGGAUUGAGUCAAACUGAAUUUAGAUCUUGGCUUUGAUGCUUACAAACAGUAAGCAUCAAUGGGUAAGUCAACAAUUUCUCUAUGCUUCAGUGUUCACAUCUAUAAAAUUGGGACAAGCAGAUCUACCCCAGAGGAUGUCUUCCUUGAAGAGAAUAUUAUGUGCCAAUGGAGGUCCGCCAAUAAACAUAUUGCUCUAUAACCUCCCUGACUCAUCACCUCAUCUUCCACUUGUGGCUUCUCCCCCAUGACCUUCUGGAAGGCUGAGCUGACAAAUCCACGGAGACAGUGAAAUGAGAGCAGAGGGAGGUCGGGAGGCUUCAUGACAGCAAAAUGAGGUCGUGUUGAUUCCUAAAGCCCAGUUUGCUGUGGUUAGGCUCCUAAUGGCAGCUUGGCUGUGCUCUGUCUGCUGUUCCCCUCCCAGUCACAAGGAGGAGUCCAAAGGUGUGUCCCACAUGAUCUCAAAACCAGCCCAUCCACAUAGUCACCCUGGAUCAUAUGUCCUGUUGUUCUACCUUCAUUCCACCAACACCUGCAGCCCCCAAAGCUUCUAGAACAUCCUUUGCUGCUGGUGGUGUCCCUGAAGGGACAUGUGGUGAUUUUCCAGCUAGUGGGUGGCAGGGUUCAGGGUUCUACCUGCCUCUCAUCUUCUGGAUCCGUCUGCAGCGUCUCAGCCUCAUUGCUAUGCCCUUUGC